UACAGAGGUCUCAAGCGUUGUUCGGAUUCAUUGGGCGUAAAGGGUGUGUAGGUGGCGCGCUAAGUCGGGUGUGAAAUUUCGGAGCUUAACUCCGAAACUGCAUUCGAUACUGGCGUGCUUGAGGACUGGAGAGGAGACUGGAAUUCAUGGUGUAGCAGUGAAAUGCGUAGAGAUCAUGAGGAAGACCAGUGGCAAAGGCGGGUCUCUGGACAGUUCCUGACACUGAGACACGAAGGCCAGGGGAGCAAACGGG
rnacentral:rRNA from 1 species